AACAAAUGACUAACCUGUUAUAAACAUUUGUUGCAACAGAUGACUAACUUGUUGCAACAAAUAGGUCAUCUGUUAGAAAAUAAUUAAAAUACUAGGGAACUCAAACAUUUUUAGGAGAACUCAAAUGUUUGUCCCAUUAUCUUAAAGACGCCUUUAAUUUUAGCUAGAUCAAUAUAGUUAUUACUAGUAAUUGCUUAAUUUGAAUCAACAGAUGACUAACAUGUUACAUCAGAUGAUUCAUCUGUUUGAAAUUAUCUAAUAGAUAGAAAAUCAGUUGUAACAGAUGAGUCAUCUAUUAGAAAGCAAUUAAAAUACUAGGAAACUUAAACAUUUUUAGGAGAACUCAA
rnacentral:lncRNA from 1 species